rnacentral:rRNA from 1 species
CCCUUAGAUGUUCUGGGCCGCACGCGUGCUACACUGAGUGGAUCAGCGGGUCAGGUUGCGCGAAAGUGUUUCCUAAUCUUUAAAUCCGCUCGUGAUGGGGAUUGACGGUUGCAAUUUUCCGUCAUGAACGAGGAAUACCUUGUAAGCGCGGGUCAUCAUCCCGCGCUGAAUACGUCCCUGCCCUUUGUACACACCGCCCGUCGCUCCUACCGAUUGGUUGAUCUGGUGAAUUAUUCGGACUGCCGGCUGAAGGGGUUUCCUCAUCUGCCAGCGGAAAGUCUUGUUAACCCUAUCAACUAGAGGAAGCAGAAGUCGUAACA